GCGGUUUGUCGCGUCUGCUGUGAAAGCCCGGGGCUUACCCCGGGUGUGCAGUGGGUACGGGCAGACUUGAGUGCAGUAGGGGAGACUGGAACUCCUGGUGUAGCGGUGAAAUGCGCAGAUAUCAGGAAGAACACCGAUGGCGAAGGCAGGUCUCUGGGCUGUUACUGACGCUGAGGAGCGAAAGCAUGGGGAGCGAACAGGAUUAGAUACCCUGGUAGUCCAUGCCGUAAACGUUGGGCACUAGGUGUGGGGGACAUUCCACGUUUUCCGCGCCGUAGCUAACGCAUUAAGUGCCCCGCCUGGGGAGUACGGCCGCAAGGCUAAAACUCAAAGGAAUUGACGGGGGCCCGCACAAGCGGCGGAGCAUGCGGAUUAAUUCGAUGCAACGCGAAGAACCUUACCAAGGCUUGACAUACACCGGACCGGCUCAGAGAUGGGUUUUCCUCCUUGUGGGGCUGGUGUACAGGUGGUGCAUGGUUGUCGUCAGCUCGUGUCGUGAGAUGUUGGGUUAAGUCCCGCAACGAGCGCAACCCUCGUUCUAUGUUGCCAGCACGUGAUGGUGGGGACUCAUAGGAGACUGCCGGGGUCAACUCGGAGGAAGGUGGGGAUGACGUCAAAUCAUCAUGCCCCUUAUGUCUUGGGCUUCACGCAUGCUACAAUGGCCAGUACAAUGGGUUGCGAUACCGUGAGGUGGAGCUAAUCCCAAAAAGCUGGUCUCAGUUCGGAUCGUGGUCUGCAACUCGACCACGUGAAGUCGGAGUCGCUAGUAAUCGCAGAUCA
rnacentral:rRNA from 1 species